UACGAAGGGGGCUAGCGUUGUUCGGAUUUACUGGGCGUAAAGCGCACGUAGGCGGACUAUUAAGUCGGGGGUGAAAUCCUGGGGCUCAACCUCAGAAUUGCCUCCGAUACUGGCAGUCUCGAGUGCGGGAGAGGUGAGUGGAAUUCCCAGUGUAGAGGUGAAAUUCGUAGAUAUUGGGAAGAACACCAGUGGCGAAGGCGGCUCACUGGCCCGUAACUGACGCUGAGGUGCGAAAGCGUGGGGAGCAAACAGG
rnacentral:rRNA from 1 species